AAAACCUAGUUAGUUUCAUUUUAACGUGUGCUGAAAUAAUUCCAGCAUGAAACAUUUCGAAAAGCCGCCACACAACUUGAGCUUUAUAUAAUUGUUUAGGUGUGGUAUGAACAUGAAGUUCAGCCAGUCACCGCAUGGUGGCGGGUGAACAUACACAAAAGGUAUCGAAGUAUAUAGCCGCCAUACCAAAGAACUUUACCGCCUUCGCAUGGGCGCGGACAUGUUCCGAAUUAAACCGCCAAAUCGGUACAAUAGACCGAGGUUUCGUGGUUUGAAACCAUUUCACACUCGUCCACUUCGCAAAAGAAUCGGCUGGAGAACAGAAGUUCGCUAAAAGUUUCCUCAAGUGAUUUCAAGUGAUGGUGUUUGAAUUAAAAUAAGUUCAAGAUUUAAAUUUUCGGUGUUACUAAAACACUUCUAAAGUGAAUUCUGUUCUGGUGUUUCGGAAAGAUUUGAGUACAAAGCGCUCGUCCAACGAGCGUUUUGUACGGGCUGGAUUUUGCUGGUAUUUUGUGCUCGUGUGCCGCGCUAAGGCCCGCCGUCUCGGUAGUCAAACGGAGUUGGUGGUUUUCGUUAUCACGUUUGCGAAGUUGUCCGAG